rnacentral:rRNA from 1 species
GACGAACGCUGGCGGCGUGCUUAACACAUGCAAGUCGAACGAAGUGGCGAACGGGUGAGUAACGCGUAAUCAACCUGCCCUUCAGUGGGGGACAACAGUUGGAAACGACUCCUAAUACCGCAUACUGAAGGAGGGGAUUGCGUCUGAUUCGCUAGUUGGCGGGGUAACGGCCCACCAAGGCGAUGAUCAGUAGCCGGGCUGAGGGGAUGGACGGCCACAUUGGGAAUGAGAAAAGGCCCAGACUCCUACGGGGGGGAGCAGGGGGGAAUCUUCCGCAAUGGAGGAAAGUCUGACGGAGCAAAGCCGGGGUGGGGAAGACGGCCUUCGGGUUGGAAAGCUCUGUUAAUCGGGACGCGGUACCGGAAGAGAAAGCCACGGCUAACUACGUGCCAGCAGCCGCGGUAAUUC